rnacentral:lncRNA from 1 species
UUGAUUAUCUUUUGUUGCUUCAUUUUCAUGAAAUGUAGAUACACUUAUUAUUUCUCAUUUCACUGAAUUUUCUUAAGAGGAAUGUAAGGGGCAAUCAGGUAGAGGAGGACAAGGAGCACCUCUCAUGGGAUGACAAUGACAGUUUUUAUCAUUAUCACAGUAACUGUUGAUAUCACCUACACCUUUGUAACAUGACUCUAUGCACUUCUGCUCACAUUCAUUUGAUGAAUCUUCGCAACCAAAUUUCUCAAAAAUUGCUUCGCACAUGUCAUAAUCUGACUGAACAAAUCUUGGUUCCUCUGCUUCAACUGCCAUAAAACACCAAAAAAGUAAAAAUAAAAUAGAAAUGUUUGGCGAGGGCAAAUAUAUAUCAAGUAGGUUAGCAUUGUACUCAAUUUUUAGUUUCCUUAAAUGUUUCUAAUAAACGUACUAGAAAAACAAAUUCUAAAAUACUAGACAUAUUAGAUAAGUCGAACAAAAUUAACUUAGUUAUAGAUUUUCGGAGAAAAGGCUUAUCAAAUUUUCAAAUUCCAUUAUUUUAUUUCUAUAAAGGUUUUUUAGGUAAGUAUAAACCAGACCUAUCUCUUUUUGUGGAAUGAACUAUCGUAAAGGACUUCUCAAUAUAUAUANNNNNNNNNNNNNNNNNNNNNNNNNCUCCCUGCAAAAAUAUAAGAAGUAAACUUAAAAAUAAUUGCUAUUAAAUUUGUAACCCUCUUAAUAGUUUAGUCAAGAAUAUACAAGUGCUACUUAUUCCAUUCGACUAACAGAUCGUGACGUUUCUGUAAUUUUUAAUCACCAAUUAGAGAAAAACUGAAACUAUUUAUAAUUUGUAUAAAAUAGGAAUGCAAACUGUCACAAUUAAAAGAAGAAACAUGACAAAGAAGAUCGUAUAAACCAUAUACCUGAAGCCACAACUAGUAAAACUAGAAGAACAGUACAGAUGAUUUUCAUUCUUAGGCAGUAAAUUUUUGCUGAUGAGAAACUUGUGUAAG